UACUAUGACCAUGCCACCCAGAACGUGCCCCAUCUUGUCUGAUCUCGGAAGCUAAGCAGGGUCUGGCCUAGUUAGUACUUGGAUGGGAGACCACCUAGGAAGAUCAGGUGCUGUAGGCU
rnacentral:rRNA from 1 species